CAGCCGCCGCGGUAAUGCGAAGGGGGCUAGCGUUGUUCGGAUUUACUGGGCGUAAAGGGCGCGUAGGCGGACUGAUAAGUCAGGGGUGAAAUCCCAAGGCUCAACCUUGGAACUGCCUUUGAUACUGUUUGUCUUGAGUUCGAGAGAGGUAAGUGGUACUGCGAGUGUAGAGGUGAAAUUCGUAGAUAUUCGCAAGAACACCAGUGGCGAAGGCGGCUUACUGGCUCGAAACUGACGCUGAGGCGCGAAAGCGUGGGGAGCAAACAGGAUUAGAUACCCCUGUAGUCCCUGUCUCUUAUAA
rnacentral:rRNA from 1 species